AGGGAAUCUUCCGCAAUGGACGAAAGUCUGACGGAGCAACGCCGCGUGAGUGAUGAAGGUUUUCGGAUCGUAAAACUCUGUUGUUAGGGAAGAACAAGUAUCGUUCGAAUAGGGCGGUACCUUGACGGUACCUAACCAGAAAGCCACGGCUAGCUACGUGCCAGCAGCCGCGGUAAUACGUAGGUGGCAAGCGUUGUCCGGAAUUAUUGGGCGUAAAGCGCGCGCAGGCGGUUUCUUAAGUCUGAUGUGAAAUCUUGCGGCUCAACCGCAAGCGGCCAUUGGAAACUGGGAGACUUGAGUGCAGAAGAGGAGAGUGGAAUUCCACGUGUAGCGGUGAAGUGCGUAGAGAUGUGGAGGAACACCAGUGGCGAAGGCGACUCUCUGGUCUGUAACUGACGCUGAGGCGCGAAAGCGUGGGGAGCGAAC
rnacentral:rRNA from 1 species